GACGAACGCUGGCGGCGUGCUUAACACAUGCAAGUCGAACGGUAAGGCCCUUCGGGGUACACGAGUGGCGAACGGGUGAGUAACACGUGGGUGAUCUGCCCUGCACUUCGGGAUAAGCCUGGAAAACUGGGUCUAAUACCGGAUAGGACCACUGCCUGCAUGGGGGGUGGUGGAAAGCUUUUGCGGUGUGGGAUGGGCCCGCGGCCUAUCAGCUUGUUGGUGGGGUGAUGGCCUACCAAGGCGACGACGGGUAGCCGGCCUGAGAGGGUGACCGGCCACACUGGGACUGAGAUACGGCCCAGACUCCUACGGGAGGCAGCAGUGGGGAAUAUUGCACAAUGGGCGCAAGCCUGAUGCAGCGACGCCGCGUGAGGGAUGACGGCCUUCGGGUUGUAAACCUCUUUCAGCACCGACGAAGCGCAAGUGACGGUAGGUGCAGAAGAAGGACCGGCCAACUACGUGCCAGCAGCCGCGGUAA
rnacentral:rRNA from 1 species